rnacentral:rRNA from 1 species
GACGAACGCUGGCGGCGUGCUUAACACAUGCAAGUCGAACGGAAAGGCCCUGCUUUUGUGGGGUGCUCGAGUGGCGAACGGGUGAGUAACACGUGAGUAACCUGCCCUUGACUUUGGGAUAACUUCAGGAAACUGGGGCUAAUACCGGAUAGGAGCUCCUGCUGCAUGGUGGGGGUUGGAAAGUUUCGGCGGUUGGGGAUGGACUCGCGGCUUAUCAGCUUGUUGGUGGGGUAGUGGCUUACCAAGGCUUUGACGGGUAGCCGGCCUGAGAGGGUGACCGGCCACAUUGGGCCUGCGAUACGGCCCAGACUCCUACGGGAGGCAGCAGUGGGGAAUAUUGCACAGUGGGCGGAAGCCUGAUGCAGCAACGCCGCGUGCGGGAUGACGGCCUUCGGGUUGUAAACCGCUUUCGCCUGUGACGAAGCGUGAGUGACGGUAAUGGGUAAAGAAGCACCGGCUAACUACGUG